AACGAACGCCGGCGGCAGGCUUAACACAUGCAAGUCGAACGAUGUAGCAAUACAUAGUGGCGCACGGGUGAGUAACGCGUGGGAAUAUACCUUAUAGUGGGGAAUAACUUUGGGAAACUAAAGCUAAUACCGCAUACGCCCGAGAGGGGAAAGAUUUAUCGCUAUAAGAUUAGCCCGCGUGAGAUUAGGUAGUUGGUGGGGUAAUGGCCUACCAAGCCUACGAUCUCUAGCUGGUCUGAGAGGAUGAUCAGCCACACUGGAACUGAGAUACGGUCCAGACUCCUACGGGAGGCAGCAGUGGGGAAUAUUGGGCAAUGGAGGAAACUUUGACUCAGCCAUGCCGCGUGAAUGAUGAAGGCCUUAGGGUUGUAAAGUUCUUUCGCCGAUGAAGAUAAUGACGGUAGUCGGAGAAGAAGCCCCGGCUAACUUCGUGCCAGCCGCCGCAGUAA
rnacentral:rRNA from 1 species